GUCAUGGUGUCUCCACGGCAACAGAGCAGAGACUAAGACAAGGGUGAAAACCGUAAAGGCUGCUGCUCCAUGGCAAGGCUCUGGUCUGUCCUGUGUUUAUCUCUGAAAGGCUAGUGGGAGGAUUCACGACACCCCAUGAUGCUGUGAAGGGGCAGAAGAAAAGGCAAAACCAAUCGCUCCUACAGAGACAUGAGGACCCUCCCAUCCAAGGGUCAGCCACCCCCCCCCACCCCCAAGGGGAUUGAACUUGGGUCCUCAUGCUUGAAAGGCAAGCGCUUUCCUGACUGAGCCAUCUUCCCAGUCCCAAACCACAAUCUAAUUUGAGGCUCAUCCUUUGUGACCUCAGGAGUCAGGGACUUCAAACAGCUGAACUGCCUGAGAGUUGUACUCUCUUCCGGUUGCUGCCCAAAUCAGUGACAUAACUGCACUCUGGUCCAACAAGCGACUGUGAACCUACACAGCAAAGAUAUUAGGAGAGGAUGGGCAUGGCGGGGCAUGCCUCUGAACCCAGCAUGCAGGAGACUGAAUGAGGCAGGAAGACCAGCUAUGAGCUCGAGACCAGUCUGGACUACAUGGUGAUUUCUGAGGUGAGAUUGGGCUACAGAGCAAGACCCUACAACACCUUUAUCAUCAUCAUCAUCA